CACGGAGGACGGCCGAACCUACAGGUACGAUGACCAGGGGAACAUCCUGUACGUGACGCUGGGCAGCGGCGGGACCUUCACCACCACCACCACCGAGGAGCGCUUCACGGUCGACUCGCAGGGUAACCGAAUCUUCACGACCGCUGACGGGCGGCGCUACACG